ACCUCCCAUUGUCUCUGUCUCUCUCUUUCUCCUCUGCUUCCCCUCACCCCACAACCAAAGUCAAGAGCGCAGACCCCAUGAUCACCUGAUACUUCCAAGCAAGCAGGUGUUCUUUUCAGAAGCCAGAAGCUGAUAACCUGGGCUUUCUGAUCUAACCCCAGCCCAAAUUCAUUGCAAUGGAGGAAUUGGGGAGGAGAUUCUUCCUACUGAGAAGUGGGUGCCAACUCUCCCUUUCAAAUUUGUUCAUCAACAAACUAAAGGGGAUGCCAGAAAUGUCUGGAGCAAUGGAAGAACCACUGGAAUAAUGCUCCUGCCUGAUUGUAUCUACUUAACCCACUCUCCAAGAGCCAGAAUCAGAUUUCAACCGUAUGGAAUCAUCUACAAUGCAGCAGAUGGGUUUACAAGUCUCUUGGUCUCUUCAUGAAGAAGGCGCAGCAAUCGUGUCCCAAGUCCUUGAGGACUUCACAGGGUGUUCUAGUGUCCUGAGAAUAUACCUGCCUAAGGGACUCAUCAUUAAAAAGGAACAAAGAGGCCCUAACCCAACCUCAAAGAGAAGGAAAAGGACCUUUUUCUAAAUGGAAGAAUUCUUUUGUAAGAAACGAGGAAGAGUUAGAACAAGCAUCUGCAUAGCCUGGGAAGGGCCACUCUCUCCCAAGGCAUGCUGCCGCUUGCCUCUGAUGUCUGGACGCAAACAGCAGAUCCUCAAUCUGCUCCAGGGUGUUAGUGCCAACCCUGACCUAGUGAGCUUACUCCUUUCUCUUGGGCUUAGGCACAUCUUGAAAGGGGAGAUAGGGAUGACUCUGUGCAUCAGUCCCUCUGUCUGGUCCAGUGGACCUUGUCCUUAUGAUGGCCUGUGAAAAGAUCUUAGUUUCUGAGCAGUUAUGCAAGUUGCUCAAAGCCUUUGAGAUGUCCCCCAGAAGCUGAGUGUAGAAGCAGUUCCACCACCCAGCCUGCAUUAUCUACACAAGACAAUUAGGCAGGGCUCUGGGAACACUCUAAGGGCCAGGGAUUAGGGAGAGAAUCAACCUUGCAGCGCCACCGGUUUGGGGAGGUCAUCACCACACUGCCCUGCCUCUAUCUAAGGAGUGUCUGAGCCCUGGAAAAGCCGCACUCAUGGCUGUCCUGUGGAAUCCUGGAAAACACCAUCCAAACAGGAGAAAAAGCCUGAAAUGAGGGAGAGAGGUUUCCCUUCAGCCCUCUGAGGAAAGUAGAACACAGAAACCCUGGACUGAAGGGGCCCCCAAGUUGGCCUGUGCUAUCCCCAACUGCUCCUCUCUGGAUGCUUCCCACCCUUAGAUUAAACCUUGCUUAUUGACCCCAUAGAGGCUUCAUGUUCUCUCCCGGCUCCUCCCAAAUUGCCCACUGGAAUGUACGUGAUGAGGUCAUUUGUAGUAAGCUACAACUUUUGUGGUUACCCCUGGCAGGGCUAUUUAUACCAUGAUAGGAAAUAAAGUCUGUGUAGAACACACUA
rnacentral:lncRNA from 1 species